GCGAGCGUAGCAAAGUGGUCUAAUGCGCCUGGUUGUGGUUCAGGAGAUCGUGGGUUCGAAUCCCAUCGCUCGCCCCA
rnacentral:tRNA from 1 species